ACAGUCUGGCUGGGUGACAUACGCGAUGCAAGACUGCUUCUGUUACAUUGACAGCAGCGUUUCAGCACUGAAAGCCCCGAGUUUCACCCGAACCAGCUGUUCGUGGUGGAGAAUAACCUCAGCCUGAUGACAGAUCGUGGCCUGAAGCUGAAGCUGAGGCCUUGCAUCGUCGCCCGCGCAGAGACGGCCGUUUCUCGGAUGCAUCUCGAGGGCGUCUUUGUGUCCGCGCGGGUGUCUUGCUGGCGUGAGUCUCCUUUCCUGCAGGAAUCCUCCAAAGCCAAGUCCUGACGUGGAGGUGACGGCAGAGGGGAGCGCGGAGGCCAGGCUGGAGCACAGAGUGAGGUGACCAAGAUGUCACUGCUGUCCCCCUUUUGGAGAAUGUGAACCUAAGGAAGCAGUGGGAUGAGAAGACCCCUGGGAGCAAUGUGUCUCUUUGGAAAGGGAGCGUUGGACAAGAUGAGGAGUCUGGAAGGGCCGAGGGCCACGCGGAAAGCCGAACUCCAAGGUCGAGGGAGCCUGGGCUGAGUCCAGCUUCCUCCGUUUGUGCUUCCAGGGCAUCUCGUUGGCGUGAGUGCCCUUUUGCAGAGGAGUUGUUGUCAAAUGCCCAGCGCUGAGGUGGGGGAGUCAGGAGAGGUGCGUCCUGGAGCAUGUAGCAUGAGGUGGCAGAUGAGCAAGAGCUGCGCAGUGCAGAGCGACACGCUGCCUCCAGAGCUGUGCAGCUCGCGCACAGAAACGUGUGGGGAGACGGCAGCUCUGCAGAGCCGCGAGGCCUGAGAGGUAACGCGACAGCUACGCCCGCUUUCCAGCAUCCGGGGCCGAGCGAGCAGCGGGACCUGCAGACCUGUGGGAGCAAGGUGACUGAGAUGUCACUGCUGUACCACUUUUACGGAAUGUGGACCUAAGGGAACAGUGGGACAAGAAGACCCCCGGGAGCACCGUGUCUCUCUGGAAAGGGAGCAUUGGACAAGACGAGGAGUCUGAAAGGGCCGAGGGCCACGUGGAAAGCUGAACUCCAAGGGCACCUCGUUGGCGUGAGCGUCCUUUUGCAGAGGAGUCUUCGUCGAAUGCCCAGCAAGGAGGUGGGGGAGACGAGAGAGGUGCGCCCCGGAGCACGUAGUGUGAGCAUGAACAAUGCUGCGUUGAUGCACUGAAGCACCAGCAGGCCCCAGCGAGGAGCACAGCGCUGCUGAUACGGGGAGCGAGGGAGGAUCCCUGCGCUGGAGAUGUCGGGUGCUCGUUGCUGGGAAGAACUGAUAUGUCUCCUCUUGCCACCCCUCCACCAGCUCUGCGGGGCCACCGGUUCAGACUCCAGCUGCAAUGAGGAAGGGACCCUCUUUUCCAGAGAUCCCACCCAAAAGAGCAACUGGAUUUUUGCCGUCGUUUUCCCCUCGAGGAGCUGCCGCGGAAGGAAGGGGGCCGGCGUCUGCCAGCUCGUUCUGCUCCCCAGGCAGAGCAGAGUGGGAAUCGGGCACGGUAGCACCGCGCUGGGGUGUUUCGACUCUUGGAAAUAAAACUCGGAGCAAGCCGCA